rnacentral:rRNA from 1 species
GACGAACGCUGGCAGCGUGCUUAACACAUGCAAGUCGAACGAUGAAGCCCUUCGGGGUGGAUUAGUGGCGAACGGGUGAGUAACACGUGGGCAAUCUGCCCUUCACUCUGGGACAAGCCCUGGAAACGGGGUCUAAUACCGGAUAUCACUCUCGCAGGCAUCUGUGAGGGUCGAAAGCUCCGGCGGUGAAGGAUGAGCCCGCGGCCUAUCAGCUUGUUGGUGAGGUAAUGGCUCACCAAGGCGACGACGGGUAGCCGGACUGAGAGGGCGACCGGCCACACUGGGACUGAGACACGGCCCAGACUCCUACGGGAGGCAGCAGUGGGGAAUAUUGCACAAUGGGCGAAAGCCUGAUGCAGCGACGCCGCGUGAGGGAUGACGGCCUUCGGGUUGUAAACCUCUUUCAGCAGGGAAGAAGCGAAAGUGACGGUACCUGCAGAAGAAGCGCCGGCUAACUACGUGCCAGCAGCCGCAGUAA